rnacentral:rRNA from 1 species
CGGCCGAGCAAGUCCGUUGGGAAAUCCACCCGCUCAACGGGUGGGCGACCAGCGGAAACUGCUCGGCUUGGGACCGGAGGACCCGAGGGGUACGUCCGGGGUAGGAGUGAAAUCCUGUAAUCCUGGACGGACCGCCGAUGGCGAAAGCACCUCGGGAGGACGGAUCCGACGGUGAGGGACGAAAGCUAGGGUCUCGAACCGGAUUAGAUACCCGGGUAGUCCUAGCCGUAAACGAUGCCCGCUAGGUGUGGCGCAGGCUACGAGCCUGCGCUGUGCCGUAGGGAAGCCGAGAAGCGGGCCGCCUGGGAA